GACACAGUAACAAUCUGAUCUCUCUUGCUGUUCCCCACAGGGCCGAGAUCUUGCCACUGCACUCCAGCCUGGGUGACAGAGUGAGACUCCAUCUCAAAAAAAAAAAAAGUGUGCUCUGGGCUGGGCGCAGGGGCUUACAACUGUAAUCCCAGCACUUUGGGAGGCUGAGGCAGGAGGAUCGCUUGAAGUCAGGAGUUUGGGAUCAGAUCCUAUCUCUAGAAAAAUGAUUUUUAAAAAUUAGCUGGGUUGGUGGUGAAUGCCUGUAGUCCCAGCUACUCAGGAGGCUGAGGCAGGAAGAUUGCUGGAGCCCGGGAGUUCAAGGCUGCAGUGAGCUAUGAUCAGGCCACUGCACUCCAGUUUGAGGGACAGAGAGAGAUCCCAUCUCCCUAAAGAACAAAAAAGUGUGCUCUGGUGCCACACUGCCUGGUUAGAUCCUUUGUCCACCACUUAGAUGCAUGUUAUAUAAAUGCUGUCUUCAAUUUCCUCAUCUGUAACUUGGGGAUGAUAAUGCUGUCCCAUGAAGUGGUUGUGGGGACUAAAUGUACGUGGGCACAUUGGUAAGUAUUCAACAAGCUUGAUUUUUCCUGGAGAGGGAGAAAGAGCAUACAGUGAAGUGGCAUGGUCAGGUGCAUUGGGGCAAGGAUUAUUUCCUCUGGCUUCUGCCUCCUGGGAGGUACUAAGGAUGGAUCUGAAAUGUGUCUGCAGACCCCAGAGUUGGGGACUGCAGAGGGAAAUUGAGAUCAGGGACCCCAGUCUGGCAGAAAUGGGUGCAGCAUGGGGCAUUGGGUUCCUUCCAUCAGAGGCAUGGGGUGUGUUGCAGACAGUCAUGAGAUGUGGCUGAAUCUUGCAAGGGAGCCACUGUCCUAGGGUUGCUGCUUGAGACAAAGACCACUGUCAGUGGAACCUGGUGACCUUCACCCUUCUGUGUCAGGCUGCAGACAGCAAGAGAUGGCAGCAGAUUACACCCAACAGGAAAAGGGCCAUUGCUAUCCCACAGGUUGCCAUAGGAGGGGAUGAUAUCUCUUCCCUCUCCUCCUCCAGCAGUGUCAGCUGGGGAAGAGGUGGGUUGGUGUGCACAAAAGAGUAGACCGCAGACCAUGCUGCUUCUCCUCCAGUCUGCUGGGGCCCCAAGAGAGUCUGCAGCCCUUGGCCAGGGACCGGCUGACACAGGAGAACAAAAGAUCUCAGGCUGGGAUAACAUGGUGGUGCAGUUCAUCCUCUGGAGCUCCCUGUGAGAUCAGACUGGAGCCAGUCUCCAGCUGAGACCACAUCUCACUUAGCUCCUUCCCUGCCAUAUCCUGUUUUCCUUACUCCUAUCUCCUGAGAGUCCUGAAUGAAUUACAUGCACUCAAUCCGUGCCUCAGGCUCUGUUUUUCGGGAACUUGACCUAAGACAGAUAUCUUAGUACUAAAUACUUUGCAAGGCUUCAGAAGCUCUGCUAUCCACAGGCAGGUGAGAUAUUACCUUCCCUACCACCUGGCAGUCAUAGUCUAUGAUGCAACUCAGCUUUGUGGAAGUGCUUCUCUAAAGAACUUCCCCCAAUUUAAGAUGAUCUUAAUUUGCUUACUUGUUUACUGUCCAUUCAGCUGCUCUAAAAUGUGAGCUCCAAAUCAGGGACCAUGUCUGGUUGGUUACCCAUUUCCUGGGACCUAGAACGGGCCUAGCUCAGAGCAGGUGCUCACUAUUGAUGGAAUGCAUGUUGAAAGAAUGCAUGAAUCUCAUCUCCUUUUGUGGGUGAAAAUCUCAUCCUAUUCUCACUCCUGAUUAACUUUCUUUCUUUUUUUUUUUUCAAAACGGAGCCCUGAUCUGUCACCCAGGCUGGAGUGCAAUGGUGCCAUCUCAGCUCGCUGCAACCUCUGCCUUCUGGAUUAAAGCAAUUCUCCUGCCUCAGCCUCCCGGGUAGCUGGGAUUACAGGUGCACACCACCACGCCCGGCUAAUUUUUUGUAUUUUUAAUAGAGACAGGGUUUUGCCAUGUUGGCCAGGCUGGUCUCAAACCCCUGACCCUGUGAUCUGCCCGAUUUGGCCUCCCAAAGUCCUGGGAUUACAAACAUGAGCCACCGUACCCAGCCACUCUUGAUUAACUUAAUGGAAAUAUUUAGAGAUUCUUUCUUUUCUGGGUUCUAGAGUCUUCUCUGUAACCUCUGCAGGUAAUACAUUUUCCUUCCUGAUAAAGCAUUUCUAUGGUUGCUUUCACUUGCAAAUCCUCUAAUACUUAUUUAUUCCAUUUCUGAUUGGCAUUAGACAUAAUUCUCAAUUUUUAGUGACAGCACUUUUGUUAACUUACAUAUAAAUCGACUUUGCCUUGAAAUGUGACAUUGACUAGAAGGACGACACUUCUAACAUGUUGUAGAACAUAGUUUGACUGGCUAAUUUAUUAUUUAGAAGAAGCUAAUAUUGCCAUUAUGAGGGACUUAGGUGGCUCUGAAGAACAAGUUGUAUUUCUGAUGUUUGCAAUGUUAAAUCACAGAUAUUGCCAAUGUGAAAUAGUUUCCGUAUGCUGUGUUCUCAAUACACACCUUUUCCAAGGAUAUCCCAAGCUGUAGUCUUAGGAAACUGUGAUUUUUCUUAUUUGGUCUCAUAGGAAUUUGGGGAGCUAUGCGGGAUCUCCAUAAAAUGAGCUCCAGAAAGACACAUGUGUGCGCGCACACACACACACACACACACACACACUCACACAUGUACCGCACCACAAUUGAAUCUGUUUAUUUGGGACCCAUGAUUAUUUUCAACAAACACUUCUGAGAAAUAAUCUGAACACUUAAUUGGAUGCAAAAGAGUGAGUAUUUACUAUUCUACCCUUUAAUUAGCAUAAUCAAUGUUUCCAGCAGCAAAAGCAAUUGGAAAAUCGCUAGUUUUAUUAGGUUCAUUAUUCUCCCUUAGCGUAGUGUGGCAUCAGCAUGGCUAUUAUUCUUAAAUUGCCUCCUUAAAACAAGGGCUGGUGCUUCUUACAGGCCAUUCCUAACUCUUGGGUUUUGUAGAGAGUCCAAAACUCUUUAGAACCUAUAAUUCAAGGAAAGGCUCCACUUUGGUUUUGCAUUUUGUCUGGUCUCUUUGGCUGACAGAAUUUAUGUCAAAAGGUGCACAUGUUUGUGGGAGGCUCAUGGACAGCCCAUCACGUUUGUGCUUUGGUAGGAAGUACGUGCCAUUAAGGGGAAGGAGUUAGUUACUGAUUCUAGGGAACAAUUGGGUAGAAAGAGAUGGACUCCCUGUGUUUGAAAUUCAGAACUCAAGCUUGGCUCUAAGUGUUUCCUUGCUUUGCUGUGCUCCAGGGGAGUCCUUGAGCAGAAGGAAGCAAGUUGCCUGAGAUUCUUCAAAGCCCGCAGCCCUUUUGGAGGUUAGAUGGUUAUUCUCAGAGCCUUUAUGAUGCAUAAUAAAGACCUAGCUUGGACCAAUAUUAGGAUGAGUUAUCUUGCUAUUAACAUUCUUUUAGGUAGAAGUUGCUGGUCCCAUCUUGCUCACAAUCCUCCAAAGUUUGAAAGUUAUUUUCCAGGAGACUUGGCUUGCACUGAGAGCUGCCCUCCCACCCUCUCUCCAAAUUUCCUCUUGGGGGUAGCCUAACAAGGUGCUGUCACAGACCCUUGUCGGCCACGAUGACCCCACCCAGACCAUCCCUCUGCUGUUUCACUCUUUGAUAGUCUCUGGAGCUCUCUGGGGAGGGGUGAGACCUGCCGUCUAGUUUGUAUGGUUUGCCCAGGUCUUACAGUCAUGGCUGGCUGCCUCUCUCUGAGAACUAGAACUCCUGAACUUGGUGAAAGACCUCAGCCAUCGAUCAUGUUGAAUUAUCGGGGACACUCAUUUGAAAUCCGAGCCUGUUCCAGAUAGACUCUCUCUCUUUCUGCCCUGACCGUGAGAGAAGCCCUGCUGGACGGUGGAGACACUCGUGGGCUGUGAGCAAGGGAUGCAAAGGCUGCCGGGAAUCCCAUCUUUCCAGCAUCAUCUGCCAAGGCACAUUAGUUCCUGGGUAUCUGGAUGGGUUCUAGCAGCAUUACUGUCAUUGAAGGAAAAAUUUUAGCCAUAUUAAAGGUUAAUGCAGCAAUCUCCACAUAGGCUGCCUGGAAGGGAAGCAGGACAAGGUUAGGUUUUCCUUGUGAUGGACAGGAGGCAGGCGGCCCUCCCACAGCCCUGCCUGGCAAUACAGAUGUGUCCCCAAAAGGCACUGGGGGCCAGCUGGAGUGCUAUGCCGAGGCGGACUGACCCGGGCCGUGGGUUCACUCUGCUGGCAGCGGUUUCCCGCCAGCUCCUUGCAGAGUUGGCAGAUGGCCCAGCCCCACAGCAGGAGCCGGGAAUGGCAGAACGAGACACAACAAUUUGAUAUCCACUUGCCAGAUGAGCCGGGUGUCAUCAGUCGCCUGGCUCUAUGCCCAACCUCUUUUUGCAUAAACACUUAUGGAUUCAGCCAAGAGGAAAAGCACUCUGAUUAUGAAUUGAGCAGAAGGAAACAAAGUUCUGCAGAUAAACACCAAUGAAACAAAAAACCACGAAUAAGAAAAAUGACAGAAAAGGAGAACCUUCCCAGAAUCCUCCUGCCAGUGAACGGUCACCAGAGCAAGAGCAUGGAGUCCCUGGGUUUUGAACUGUGAGAUAAGGAAGAUGAUGAAAACCUCCCUAGCAGCCAGGAAUGACGGACGCUGGGGCUUUGAUGGGCACCGGGUGAAAUGGGCAGAGUGGCGCUUACCCGGGAUGGCGGUGAAGCGGGACCGGGAGGUCAUCGUGACAAAGGGUGGCAUGAGGUACCUGGCCUUGACGCCCUCCCCGGCUAGACGGUCCAGAUUGGGGGUGUCCACAUCCUGAUCCUAGUCCCAGCGGAAGCCCUGGAAGGAGAUCAGCAGCAGCUAAACUCCUGGAGGGCAGAGCCAUGCCUGCCAUUUUCAUCAUUGCAUUACCACCACCCAGCACAGUGCCUGGUACAAAAGAGUUGCUCAAUAAAUAAAUCAGGAUGAAUGGACAAAUACACGGAUAGGCACUUUGAACUACAGAUGAGCUUAAAUACUUUGUGUUUUUCUUAGUCAAACAUGUGCAAUUAAGCAUGUGAUAAAUUAUAUGAUGACCACACCUGUGUCUUGCCUGAUGUUCUUUGCAAUCACUAAACAAAGUCAAUUUUGCCUGUUUUGACAGUUCUGUUUUCAACCUAAUGAUCCGUUUCUUUUAACUUCUGGCUGUUGGCUUUGUUUGGGUUUGUUAGCCUGACAAAGUGGCAGAUAUUGGUAUUUGCUCUUUUGUUUAAAUGUCACGAACUUUAAAAAUGCCUUUGCUUUUGGUAAGAAACCCUAGUUAGGACAGUCUAGUGGUCAGGAUGAUUUGGGUUCUGAUGCAGUAACAACAACCCCCAAAUCUCAGUGGCUCCAUGCGGUGAGGUAUUUGUUAGUUUUUGAGACAGGGUCUCACUCUGUCACCCAGACUAGAGUGCAGUGGUGCAAUCUCAGCUCACUGCCACCUCUGCCUCCCAGACUCAAGUGAUUCUCUGCCUCCUGAGUGGCUGGGAUUACAGGCCCGUGCCACUACUGUCUGGCUAAUUUUUUUACUUAGUAGAGACAGGAUUUCACCAUGUUAGCCAGGCUGGUCUUGAACUCCUGACCUCAAAUGAUCCACCUGCCUUGGCCUCCCAAAGUGCUGGGAUGACAGGUGUGAGCCACCAUGUCUGGCCACAAUGAGGCUUAUUCUUGGUCAUGUUGCAUGUCUGGGCUGUGUUAGGGCAUUGUGGGGUGGUCUGUUCAUUGUGUUCACUCAGGGAUCCAGGCUGACAAAAGCCCCAUCUCUGCAUGUGUCCUUGAUCACCACUUCAGGGGAAAGGGAAUGUGCUGGAUCACAGAGCCUCUUAACACUUCCACCUGGAGGUGACUCAAGUUGCUCCUGCUCAUGGUUCAUCGGACAAAACGGAUCACAGAGUCAUGGGCAACUUCUCUGUGCCUGGAAGGGGAACCAAAAUAUGAAUAGCUACAUUGAUUUUCCCUAGCUAUUACACAGAAGGCCUCAUUUAAACACAGUUACUUAUUUGUGUUUUGAAGCUAAUUGUAGUCCAUCAACCUUCACAGAAGAUAUGUGCACUUCUAAGCUAUUAUUAAGCACAGUUUUUUUUUUCUUUUGAGACAGAGUCUCACUCUCUUGCCCAGACUGGUGUGCAGUGGCAUGAUCAUGGAUCACUGCAACUUCUGCCUCCUGGGUUCAAGUGAUUUUCAUGCCUCAGCCUCCCAAAGUGCUGGGAUUACAGACACCCACCACUGCACCUGGCUAAGUUUUGUAUUUUUAGUAGAGAUGGGGUUUCACCAUGUUGGCUUGGCUGGUCUGGAACUCCUGACCUCAGGUUAUCCACCUGCCUUGGCCUCCCAAAGUGCUGAGAUGACAGGCGUGAGCCACCGCACCCGGCCUUGAGUAUGAUUUUUGAUUGGGAACGUCAGAGUUACGGUUUUAGUCUGAGGACAGUAUGACGUGAAGGUGAAAAGUAGAGCUUGGCUGUGAGUUUGCUGGGAUUCCUGUGCUACUUCUACAGUUCUUCGGCUGUGUGACCAUCACCUUUG
rnacentral:lncRNA from 1 species